GCGUAGGAAUCUACCCAGUAGAGGGGAGUAGCCCGGGGAACCCGGAAUUAAUACCGCAUACGCCCUAACGGGGGAAAGGGACCGGGAGUCUUCGGACCGGGUCACUAUUGGAUGAGCCUGCGUAAGAUUAGCUAGUUGGUGGGGUAAAGGCCUACCAAGGCGACGAUCUUUAGCUGGUCUGAGAGGAUGAUCAGCCACACUGGAACUGAGACACGGUCCAGACUCCUACGGGAGGCAGCAGUGGGGAAUAUUGGACAAUGGGCGCAAGCCUGAUCCAGCCAUGCCGCGUGUGUGAAGAAG
rnacentral:rRNA from 1 species